rnacentral:rRNA from 1 species
CGCGGCCUAUCAGCUUGUUGGUGGGGUAAUGGCCUACCAAGGCGACGACGGGUAGCCGGCCUGAGAGGGUGAUCGGCCACACUGGGACUGAGACACGGCCCAGACUCCUACGGGAGGCAGCAGUGGGGAAUAUUGCACAACGGGCGAAAGCCUGAUGCAGCGACGCCGCGUGGGGGAUGACGGUCUUCGGAUUGUAAACCCCUUUCAGUAGGGACGAAGCGCAAGUGACGGUACCUGCAGAAGAAGCACCGGCUAACUACGUGCCAGCAGCCGCGGUAAUACGUAGGGUGCGAGCGUUGUCCGGAAUUACUGGGCGUAAAGAGCUCGUAGGCGGUUUGUCACGUCGUCUGUGAAAUCCCUCGGCUUAACCGGGGGCGUGCAGGCGAUACGGGCAGACUUGAGUACUACAGGGGAGACUGGAAUUCCUGGUGUAGCGGUGAAAUGCGCAGAUAUCAGGAGGAACACCGGUGGCGAAGGCGGGUCUCUGGGUAGUAACUGACGCUGAGGAGCGAAAGCAUGGGUAGCGAACAGGAUUAGAUACCCUGGUAGUCCAUGCCGUAAACGGUGGGCGCUAGGUGUGGGGUCCUUCCACGGACUCCGUGCCGUAGCUAACGCAUUAAGCGCCCCGCCUGGGGAGUACGG